UUUCAAUUUUUCUUGUUUUUACAGUAUUAAGUUUGUGAUUCGACCCUCCCGCGCCAGCAAGAGAGAGAGAGAGAGAGAGACUUUUAUGUUUGUUUUUGUUCUCAUUUCCUGAUACUACACAUGCACAUAUGCAGCAAUAGGUCGUGAGAAGACGCUUGAAACCAUGGAUGGGAUUCCAUCCAGGAUGAUUCAUUCAUGCCACUGUGAUUUUCUUUUUGUUGUGGUGUGGUGUGGUGUGGUGUGAUGGUUGUUCGAAGGCACGGCAAAACCAGCAACACCAUUGUUUUGGAACGAAAUUGUCGCGGUCGUCCAUCCAUCCAUUCAUCCAUCCAUCCAUCCAUUAUUUGUUU
rnacentral:ribozyme from 17 species